AACGAACGCUGGCGGCGUGCCUAACGCAUGCAAGUCGAGCGCGAAAGGAGCAAUCCGAGUAGAGCGGCGCACGGGUGCGUAACACGUGGAUAAUCUGCCUCAGGGUCGAGGAUAACCUUCCGAAAGGUUGGCUAAUACUCGGUAAGCUUACGGUGACUUCGGUCGCUGUGAGAAAACUAGACCUCUAUUUAUAAGUUUAGGCCCAGAGAUGAGUCCGCGGCCCAUCAGCUAGUUGGCGGGGUAACGGCCCACCAAGGCUACGACGGGGAGCUGGUCUGCGAGGACGAUCAGCCACACUGGAACUGAGACACGGUCCAGACUCCUACGGGAGGCAGCAGUGGGGAAUUUUCCACAAUGGGCGAAAGCCUGAUGGAGCAACGCCGCGUGUGUGAUGAAGGUCUUCGGAUCGUAAAGCACUUUCGACUGGGACGAAAAACCUUUGGCUAACAUCCAGGGGCCUGACGGUACCAGGAGAAGAAGCACCGGCUAACUCUGUGCCAGCCGCCGCAGUAAAAC
rnacentral:rRNA from 1 species